rnacentral:rRNA from 1 species
GAUGAACGCUGGCGGCGUGCCUAAUACAUGCAAGUCGAGCGAACGGACGAGAAGCUUGCUUCUCUGAUGUUAGCGGCUGACGGGUGAGUAACACGUGGAUAACCUACCUAUAAGACUGGGAUAACUUCGGGAAACCGGAGCUAAUACCGGAUAAUAUUUUGAACCGCAUGGUUCAAAAGUGAAAGACGGUCUUUCUGUCACUUAUAGAUGGAUCCGCGCUGCAUUAGCUAGUUGGUAAGGUAACGGCUUACCAAGGCAACGAUGCAUAGCCGACCUGAGAGGGUGAUCGGCCACACUGGAACUGAGACACGGUCCAGACGCCUACGGGAGGCAGCAGUAGGGAAUAUUCCGCAAUGGGCGAAAGCAUGACGGAGCAACGCCGCGUGAGUGAUGAAGGUCUACGGAUCGUAAAACUCUGUUAUUAGGGAAGAACAUAUGUGUAAGUAAAUGUGCACAUAGUGACGGUAACUAAUCAGAAAGCAACGGCUAACUACGUG